AGGUGCGAUCAUACCAGCAUUAAUGCACCAGAUCCCAUCAGAGCUCCGUAAUCAUACGUGCUUGGGCGAGAGUAGUACUAGGAUGGGUGGCCUCUUAGGAAGUCCUCGUGUUGCACCUC